AUGCUGCGUCUUCUUCAUCUCCUCAUACCUUUGGCAAUCGCCUUUCUGCCACUUUGCGGUGCACACGACCUCGACUGCAACGUCACUCAGGAGGCCGGACGGACGGUUUACCGCCUGCCGCAGUUCAACGCGACCGGAUGUCAUUACAGUUGGACCAACCGGACGGGCCACGUGCUGGCAAACAGCCAUCAGAGGGAAACCGACGAAGUGGUGGUGAAGCAGAGCGACACCACUCUCGCCACCUCCGGGUGCUUGGAGGUGAUUCAGUACGCGCGGUACUGCUCUUCUGAGGGGAUGGAACGCAAGGCCAAAUGCGUCAGUGAGUAUCUGUCAUAUUUUAGUAUUUUGUUUGAUUUUAUUUUACAUUCAAUUUUUAACUGA
rnacentral:lncRNA from 1 species